rnacentral:tRNA from 1 species
CGCGGGGUGGAGCAGCCUGGUAGCUCGUCGGGCUCAUAACCCGAAGGUCGUCGGUUCAAAUCCGGCCCCCGCAACAA